rnacentral:rRNA from 1 species
GGCUCAGAUUGAACGCUGGCGGCAGGCCUAACACAUGCAAGUCGGACGGUAGCACAGAGGAGCUUGCUCCUCGGGUGACGAGUGGCGGACGGGUGAGUAAUGUCUGGGGAUCUGCCCGAUGGAGGGGGAUAACCACUGGAAACGGUGGCUAAUACCGUAUAACGUCGCGAGACCAAAGAGGGGGACCUUCGGGCCUCUCACUAUCGGAUGAACCCAGAUGGGAUUAGCUAGUAGGCGGGGUAACGGCCCACCUAGGCGACGAUCCCUAGCUGGUCUGAGAGGAUGACCAGCCACACUGGAACUGAGACACGGUCCAGACUCCUACGGGAGGCAGCAGUGGGGAAUAUUGCACAAUGGGCGCAAGCCUGAUGCAGCCAUGCCGCGUGUAUGAAGAAGGCCUUCGGGUUGUAAAGUACUUUCAGCGGGGAGGAAGGCAGUGAGGUUAAUAACCUUACUGAUUGACGUUACCCGCAGAAGAAGCACCGGCUAACUCCGUGCCAGCAGCCGCGGUAAUACGGAGGGUGCAAGCGUUAAUCGGAAUUACUGGGCGUAAAGCGCACGCAGGCGGUCUGUUAAGUCAGAUGUGAAAUCCCCGGGCUUAACCUGGGAACUGCAUUUGAAACUGGCAGGCUUGAGUCUCGUAGAGGGGGGUAGAAUUCCAGGUGUAGCGGUGAAAUGCGUAGAGAUCUGGAGGAAUACCGGUGGCGAAAGGCGGCCCCCUGGACGAAGACUGACGCUCA